rnacentral:rRNA from 1 species
CGUGAGUGAUGAAGGCUUUCGAGUCGUAAAGCUCUGUUAGGUGGAAAGAAACAUUCCAGUGCCAAUACCACUGGAACUUGACGGUACCACCAGAGGAAGCACCGGCUAACUCCGUGCCAGCAGCCGCGGUAAUACGGAGGGUGCAAGCGUUGUUCGGAAUUACUGGGCGUAAAGGGCGUGUAGGCGGUUAGGCAAGUCAGGUGUGAAAUCCCUUGGCUCAACCAAGGAAGUGCGCUUGAAACUGCUUAACUAGAGUACAGGAGGGGAAAGUGGAAUUCCCAGUGUAGAGGUGAAAUUCAUAGAUAUUGGGAGGAACACCGGUAGCGAAGGCGGCUUUCUGGCCUGAUACUGACGCUGAGACGCGAAAGCGUGGGGAGCAAACAGGAUUAGAUACCCUGGUAGUCCACGCCGUAAACGAUGUGCACUAGGUGUAGGAAGUGUUGACCCUUUCUGUGCCGAAGCUAACGCAUUAA